AUGCACGCUGGCGGCGUGCCUCAUACCUGCCAGUCGAGCGAACGGACGAGAAGCUUGCUUCUCUGAUGUUAGCGGCGGACGGGUGAGUAACACGUGGAUAACCUACCUAUAAGACUGGGAUAACUUCGGGAAACCGGAGCUAAUACCGGAUGAUAUUUUGAACCGCAUGGUUCAAAAGUGAAAGACGGUCUUGCUGUCACUUAUAGAUGGAUCCGCGCUGCAUUAGCUAGUUGGUAAGGUAACGGCUUACCAAGGCAACGAUGCAUAGCCGACCUGAGAGGGUGAUCGGCCACACUGGAACUGAGACACGGUCCAGACUCCUACGGGAGGCAGCAGUAGGGAAUCUUCCGCAAUGGGCGAAAGCCUGACGGAGCAACGCCGCGUGAGUGAUGAAGGUCUUCGGAUCGUAAAACUCUGUUAUUAGGGAAGAACAUAUGUGUAAGUAACUGUGCACAUCUUGACGGUACCUAAUCAGAAAGCCACGGCUAACUACGUG
rnacentral:rRNA from 1 species